GGGCGGCUAGCUCAGCUGGUUAGAGCACUUGCUCGACAUGCAAGGGGUCGGCGGUUCAAAUCCGCCGUCGCCCA
rnacentral:tRNA from 1 species